rnacentral:rRNA from 1 species
AUGGACACGGGCCCCGAGCGCAACUGGAACUCGCCGGCAUCCCCGCCGUCCUCGCUCGAGCAGGGGAUGCUGACGUCGCCUGCGUCGCCGACGCCGAAGCGCCCCGCGGGGCGCACCAAGUUCAAGGAGACGCGCCACCCGGUGUUCCACGGCGUGCGCCGCCGGGGCAGCAACGGCCGGUGGGUGUGCGAGGUGCGCGUGCCGGGGAAGCGCGGCGAGCGGCUCUGGCUCGGGACGCACGUCACCGCCGAGGCGGCCGCGCGCGCGCACGACGCCGCCAUGCUCGCGCUGUACGGCCGCACCCCCGCCGCGCGCCUCAACUACCCCGACUCGGCGUGGCUGCUCGCCGUGCCCUCCUCCCUCCCCGACCUGGCGGACGUCCGGCGCGCCGCCAUCGGGGCCGUCGUGGACUUCCUGCGCCGGCAGGAGGCGGGCGCCAGCGCUGGCGCCGGCGCCGAGGUGGCCCACGUCGACGGGAUCGCCUCCGCCGCGUCGGCGCCAGACAAUGCCAGCUCGUCGGCGGCGGCAUCCCACUCCCAGCCGCCAUGCGCCAAUGCGGGGUUCGAGGUGCCGGACGCAUUGUGCCACGACAUGUUCGAGCUCCACACGUCCGGCGAAAUGGACGCGGGCACGUACUACGCGGACCUCGCGCAGGGGCUGCUCCUGGAGCCGCCGCCGUCCAGCGGGGCGAGCUCGGAGCACGGAGAUGAUGCGGCGCUAUGGAACCACUGA